rnacentral:rRNA from 1 species
AGAGUUUGAUCCUGGCUCAGGACGAACGCUGGCGGCGUGCCUAACACAUGCAAGUCGAACGAAGUAUAUUUUCGGAUAUGCUUAGUGGCGGACGGGUGAGUAACGCGUGAACAAUCUGCCCUGUACACAGGAAUAGCCUCGGGAAACUGGGAUUAAAACCGGAUAACACUUUUUGGCCGCAUGGCCGGGAAGUCAAAUUGAUUUAGAGGUACAGGAUGAGUUCGCGUCUGAUUAGCUAGUUGGUGAGGUAACGGCUCACCAAGGCGACGAUCAGUAGCCGGCCUGAGAGGGUGAACGGCCACACUGGAACUGAGACACGGUCCAGACUCCUACGGGAGGCAGCAGUGGGGAAUAUUGCACAAUGGAGGAAACUCUGAUGCAGCGACGCCGCGUGAGUGAAGAAGGUCUUCGGAUCGUAAAACUCUGUCCUUGGUGACGAAAAAAAUGACGGUAGCCAAGGAGGAAGCCCCGGCUAACUACGUGCCAGCAGCCGCGGUAAUACGUAGGGGGCGAGCGUUGUCCGGAUUUACUGGGCGUAAAGGGUGAGUAGGCGGUAAUAUGUGUCAGAUGUAAAAGGCUAUGGCUUAACCAUAGUUGGCAUUUGAAACUGUAUUACUUGAGUGCAGGAGAGGUAAGUGGAAUUCCUAGUGUAGCGGUGAAAUGCGUAGAUAUUAGGAGGAACACCAGUGGCGAAGGCGACUUACUGGACUGUAACUGACGCUGAGUCACGAAAGCGUGGGUAGCAAACAGGAUUAGGUACCCUGGUAGUCCACGCUGUAAACGAUGAGUGCUAGGUGUUGGGUAGCGAUAUUCAGUGCCGAAGUAAACACAAUAAGCACUCCGCCUGGGGAGUACGGUCGCAAGACUGAAACUCAAAGGAAUUGACGG